UACGUAGGGGGCUAGCGUUGUCCGGAUUUAUUGGGCGUAAAGAGCGUGUAGGCGGCCAGGUAGGUCUGCUGUGAAAACUCGAGGCUCAACCUCGAGACGUCGGCGGAAACCAUCUGGCUAGAGUCCGGAAGAGGAGAGUGGAAUUCCUGGUGUAGAGGUGAAAUGCGCAGAUAUCAGGAAGAACACCCGUGGCGAAGGCGGCUCUCUGGGACGGUACUGACGCUGAGACGCGAAAGCGUGGGGAGCGAACAGG
rnacentral:rRNA from 1 species